UGCCUCAGUAACGGCGAGUGAAGCGGCAAGAGCUCAAAUUUGAAAUCUGGCCCCUCCGGGGUCCGAGUUGUAAUUUGCAGAGGAUGCUUCGGGUGCGGCCCCUGUCUAAGUGCCCUGGAACGGGCCGUCAGAGAGGGUGAGAAUCCCGUCUUGGGCAGGGUGCCCGUGCCCGUGUGAAGCUCCUUCGACGAGUCGAGUUGUUUGGGAAUGCAGCUCAAAAUGGGUGGUAAAUUUCAUCUAAAGCUAAAUACCGGCCGGAGACCGAUAGCGCACAAGUAGAGUGAUCGAAAGAUGAAAAGCACUUUGAAAAGAGAGUUAAACAGCACGUGAAAUUGUUGAAAGGGAAGCGCUUGCAACCAGACUCGGCCUCGGGGUUCAGCCAGCAUUCGUGCUGGUGUACUUCCCCGGGGCCGGGCCAGCGUCGGUUUGGGCGGCCGGUCAAAGGCCCCAGGAAUGUAUCGUCCUCCGGGACGUCUUAUAGCCUGGGGUGCAAUGCGGCCAGCCUGGACCGAGGAACGCGCUUCGGCACGGACGCUGGCGUAAUGGUCGCAAACGACCCGUCUUGAAACACGGACCAAGGAGUCUAACAUCUACGCGAGUGUUCGGGUGUCAAACCCGUACGCGCAGUGAAAGCGAACGGAGGUGGGAGCCCCCCCGGGGCGCACCAUCGACCGAUCCUGAUGUCUUCGGAUGGAUUUGAGUACGAGCGUAGCUGUGGGGACCCGAAAGAUGGUGAACUAUGCCUGAAUAGGGUGAAGCCAGAGGAAACUCUGGU
rnacentral:rRNA from 1 species